AUGAAAAAAACUUAAAAAUGGCUAUUUGAAAAAAUUGCCUCAUAAUUUAUCAUUAAAAAAAUAAUAAACCUAAUCUUUAUUUUCUUCCGCCUCAUUCGCUAAGCUAUCUUCUCUCUUCCUGUUGUUCAAAAAAGAUCUUCUCUCUUCCUCUCCUCCUCACUAUUGAUUCUCUCGUCCUUUUACUUAAUCAGAGAUAGCUAAACGGAGACGUCAAACUCGGAUUCCUCCUGGAGCGACGAGGCCAGUUACUUCUGCCGUUUCUCUUCUUCUGCAUCCUCUUUCUGUAUCUUUGCAAUCUGCUUCUCAAAGGUGAAGUUCCUUAGGCUUUUGAGGAAGUUUCGAUAUAUUAUUUUUCUUUUCCACUACAAAAGUUUCUCUCUUUCCCUGUUAAGAGAAAGGUUUGUCCUUUGAUAAGAGUGUCUUAAUAUUGAGUAAGUCAAAUAAAAACAAUCUUGGUGAAUAAGCAUAGCACCACAAAACAGAGGAUGGCAGAUCUGAGGUUCUAACUGAUCCCUCAAGCCUAUAUGAGGCAAACUAUGUGGGUAAUGUUGAGUUUGACACCCUUGCAUCUAUUCAAAAUGUGAGUGUAUGCUUCUUUCAUGUACUUAGAGCACCUCCAACGGAGGCUCUUAGAAGAGGUUCUAAAAAAAAAAAAGGAUAAAACAAGAGGAACCGCUGCCUAACAUAUGGCUUUUGGAAUUGAUAAGAACCCUAUACGUGUCUUCUUGGUAUUGGUCGUCUCUCUUCGUCGAUGCUUUUUGUUUUCUUUCUCAGAAAUUUUGUCGUCGUUCCUCGUUGUUGCUGAUCUUCAUGCAGUGGUCGAUUUAAGAUUCUCGGCUCAAGGUGCUCGGGUUGGGAUCGUGCAUGACAGAUCGACGAAUCUGGGUUUCUAACAUCGAGGUUCUGCAACUCUCGUACAGCCAUGGAUGAUUUCUACUGAUUUGCAUCUCUGGUCCUUGAGUUUUUAACAAAUUACGGAGGGUUCAGACCUUUACGAUGAGCUUGUUAAAGCUAUAAAAGGAAAAACGGUUGGCCGUGACCAUUUGAUUUUUGGAGUGGCUCUGCAUUUGAGAUAAUGGUCGAGGAGCUUGUGGAUGUUUUCAAACACAAAGUAAUGCUAAAAAGCUACCGUAGGAGGGGCCAGACUUGUUCCUGAAGUCAGAGCCGGACCUGUACAUAGUGUUACGAAACAUUGAGAUGGGGCCCCCACUUCUAAAUUUUUUCUAUAUGUACAUGUAUGUAUAUUUAUAUAACUAAUGUGAUGUAUACAACGUUGAUAACAGAAGUUUAGUUGUGGAGAUGUCAAUGGAAUAUUAGGUGGGCCA